CCUACGGGGGACAGCAGUGAGGAAUAUUGGUCAAUGGGCGCGAGCCUGAACCAGCCAAGUCGCGUGAGGGAUGACGGCCCUACGGGUUGUAAACCUCGUUUGCCGGGGAGCAACGGGCGCCACGUGUGGCGCCACUGAGAGUACCCUGAGAAAAAGCAUCGGCUAACUCCGUGCCAGCAGCCGCGGUAAUACGGAGGAUGCGAGCGUUAUCCGGAUUUACUGGGUUUAAAGGGUGCGUAGGCGGUUCGUUAAGUCAGUGGUCAAAUGGAGGGGCUCAACCCCUUCACGCCAUUGAAACUGGCGAUCUUGAGUGGAAGAGAGGUAUGCGGAAUGCGUGGUGUAGCGGUGAAAUGCAUAGAUAGCACGCAGAACCCCGGUUGCGAAGGCAGCAUGCCGGCUUCCGACUGACGCUGAAGCACGAAAGCGUGGGGAUCGAACAGGAUUAGAUACCCUAGUAGUC
rnacentral:rRNA from 1 species